rnacentral:rRNA from 1 species
AGUCGAACGCACCGCAAGGUGAGUGGCGCACGGUGUUGUCANGCGUGGGAACAUGAAAUGGUUUGGGGGAUAACCCGGCGAAAGCCGGGCUAAUACCGCAUACUUCCUGAGGGAGAAAGAUUUAUCGCUCUAGGAGGGGCCCGCGUCGGAUUAGCUAGUUGGUGAGGUAACGGCUCACCAAGGCGACGAUCCGUAGCUGGUCUGAGAGGAUGAUCAGCCACGCUGGGACUGAGACACGGCCCACACUCCUACGGGAGGCAGCAGUGGG